UACGAAGGGGGCUAGCGUUGCUCGGAAUUACUGGGCGUAAAGGGCGCGUAGGCGGUUCGCUAAGUCGGAUGUGAAAACUCUGGGCUCAACCCAGAGCCUGCAUCCGAAACUGGCGGGCUAGAGUUCUGGAGGGGGUAGCGGAAUUCCAGGUGUAGCGGUGAAAUGCGUAGAUAUCAGGAGGAACACCGGUGGCGAAGGCGGCUACCUGGACAGAAACUGACGCUGAGGCGCGAAAGCGUGGGGAGCAAACAGG
rnacentral:rRNA from 1 species